GGCCCGAUAGCUCAGCUGGAUAGAGCAGCGGCUUCCGGAGCCGUCGGUCGGGGGUUCGAAUCCCUUUCGGGUCGCCA
rnacentral:tRNA from 2 species